UCUUUUUCCACCGGAGCUUGCUCCACCGGAAAAAGAGGGAGUGGCGAACGGGUGAGUAACACGUGGGUAACCUGCCCAUCAGAAGGGGAUAACACUUGGAAACAGGUGCUAAUACCGUAUAACAAUCNAAACCGCAUGGUUUUGAUUUGAAAGGCGCUUUCGGGUGUCGCUGAUGGAUGGACCCGCGGUGCAUUAGCUAGUUGGUGAGGUAACGGCUCACCAAGGCCACGAUGCAUAGCCGACCUGAGAGGGUGAUCGGCCACAUUGGGACUGAGACACGGCCCAAACUCCUACGGGAGGCAGCAGUAGGGAAUCUUCGGCAAUGGACGAAAGUCUGACCGAGCAACGCCGCGUGAGUGAAGAAGGUUUUCGGAUCGUAAAACUCUGUUGUUAGAGAAGAACAAGGAUGAGAGUAACUGUUCAUCCCUUGACGGUAUCUAACCAGAAAGCCACGGCUAACUACGUGCCAGCAGCCGCGGUAAUACGUAGGUGGCAAGCGUUGUCCGGAUUUAUUGGGCGUAAAGCGAGCGCAGGCGGUUUCUUAAGUCUGAUGUGAAAGCCCCCGGCUCAACCGGGGAGGGUCAUUGGAAACUGGGAGACUUGAGUGCAGAAGAGGAGAGUGGAAUUCCAUGUGUAGCGGUGAAAUGCGUAGAUAUAUGGAGGAACACCAGUGGCGAAGGCGGCUCUCUGGUCUGUAACUGACGCUGAGGCUCGAAAGCGUGGGGAGCAAACAGGAUUAGAUACCCUGGUAGUCCACGCCGUAAAGAUGAGUGCUAAGUGUUGGAGGGUUUCCGCCCUUCAGUGCUGCAGCUAACGCAUUAAGCACUCCGCCUGGGG
rnacentral:rRNA from 1 species